rnacentral:rRNA from 1 species
AUACAGAGGGUGCAAGCGUUAAUCGGAAUUACUGGGCGUAAAGCGUGUGUAGGUGGUUGAAUAAGUUAGAUGUGAAAUCCCCCGGGCUUAACCUGGGCACUGCGUUUAAGACUGUUUAACUAGAGUGCUGUAGAGGAUAGUGGAAUUUCCAGUGUAGCGGUGAAAUGCGUAGAUAUUGGAAGGAACACCAGUGGCGAAGGCGACUAUCUGGACAGACACUGACACUGUGACACGAAAGCGUGGGGAGC